GCCGGGGGAAAACCAAACCAUUUGAAUCUAUGUGGAUUAUCUGAGUGGCGAAAGCACAAAUACAAUCAAAACUUUCAACAACGGAUCUCUUGGCUCUGGCAUCGAUGAAGAACGCAGCGAAAUGCGAUAAGUAAUGUGAAUUGCAGAAUUCAGUGAAUCAUCGAAUCUUUGAACGCACAUUGCGCCCGCCAGUACUCUGGCGGGCAUGCCUGUUCGAGCGUCAUUUCAACCCCUCAAGCCCUGGGCUUGGUGUUGGGGAUCGACCACCACCCCCCGCUUACGGGGGGCGGUCGGCCCUGAAAUACAGUGGCGGACCCGCCGCGGCCCCCUCUGCGUAGUAGCACACCUCGCACUGGAGAGCGGCGCGGCCCACGCCUUAACCACUAUUUUUUCCACAGGUUGACCUCGAAUCAGGUAGGAAUACCCGCUGAACUUAAGCAUAUCAAUAAGCGGAGGAAAAGAAACCAACAGGGAUUGCCCCAGUAACGGCGAGUGAAGCGGCAACAGCUCAAAUUUGAAAUCUGGCCCUAGGCCCGAGUUGUAAUUUGCAGAGGAUGCUUUUGGCGCGGUGCCUUCCAAGUUCCCUGGAACGGGACGCCACAGAGGGUGAGAGCCCCGUCAGGUCGUGCAACCAAGCCUUUGUAAAGCUCCUUCGACGAGUCGAGUAGUUUGGGAAUGCUGCUCUAAAUGGGAGGUAUAUGUCUUCUAAAGCUAAAUACCGGCCAGAGACCGAUAGCGCACAAGUAGAGUGAUCGAAAGAUGAAAAGCACUUUGAAAAGAGAGUUAAAAAGCACGUGAAAUUGUUGAAAGGGAAGCGUUCAUGACCAGACUUGGGCCCGGUUGAUCAUCCAGCGUUCUCGCUGGUGCACUCUGCCGGCCCAGGCCAGCAUCAGUUCGCCUCGGGGGACAAAGGUUCAGGGAAUGUGGCUCCUCUCGGGGAGUGUUAUAGCCCAGUUCAAAUGCCCUGGGGCGGA
rnacentral:rRNA from 1 species